rnacentral:rRNA from 1 species
GGACUACUGGGGUAUCUAAUCCCAUUCGCUACCCACGCUUUCGUGCUUGAGUGUCAGGAACGCGCCAGUGCACUGCCUUCGCUUUCGGUGUUCCCCAUGAUAUCAACGGAUUUCACCCCUACACCAUGAGUUCCAUGCACCUCUCACGCCCUCGAGUCAUGCCGUUUCGCCCGCGUUUUCCCGGUUGAGCCGGGAGAUUUGACGGACGACUAACAUGACCACCUACGCACCCUUUACGCCCAGUAAUUCCGGGUAAUGCUUGAGGCCUCUGUAUUACCGCGGCUGCUGGCAC